rnacentral:rRNA from 1 species
CGCUGGCGGCGUGCCUAAUACAUGCAAGUCGAGCGGAAUGAUGAAGAAGCUUGCUUCUUCUGAUUUUAGCGGCGGACGGGUGAGUAACACGUGGGCAACCUACCUUGUAGAUUGGGAUAACUCCGGGAAACCGGGGCUAAUACCGAAUAAUCCAUUUUGCUUCAUGGCGAGAUGUUGAAAGGCGGCUUCGGCUGUCACUACGAGAUGGGCCCGCGGCGCAUUAGCUAGUUGGUAGGGUAAUGGCCUACCAAGGCGACGAUGCGUAGCCGACCUGAGAGGGUGAUCGGCCACACUGGGACUGAGACACGGCCCAGACUCCUACGGGAGGCAGCAGUAGGGAAUCUUCCACAAUGGACGAAAGUCUGAUGGAGCAACGCCGCGUGAGUGAAGAAGGUUUUCGGAUCGUAAAACUCUGUUGUAAGGGAAGAACACGUACGAGAGUAACUGCUCGUACCUUGACGGUACCUUAUUAGAAAGCCACGGCUAACUACGUG